CGGCUGUCGCGCUAUCACGAAUUUCGGAAAUAGAAGAGGAAAAUGGAACAUGGCAAUUGAUUCUACUGACCAGUGCUUUAGUUUCUAAUUGGACUAAAAGAAGAAAACAGUACGGACUCAUGGAUUGAAGAAAUUAAAUCAAAAGUUGAAACGAGGGAGGCGGAUCUGGAUUUUUCGAUAAUCGAUAACAUCUUAUUUUUUCGAAAUAGAUUCUACAUAGGACCAAUGUAAAACCCUGCUUCCCACACAGAAUUUUAAUAUACUAACAUGACUUAUAAUACCAUGUUUUCCCUAAUAGAAUUUGAAUAUAACAAAAUUUCAACAUAUUCAGUCUUUAAGAAUUCUAAGCUCGUAUUUAUUACAACCCAAAAUAGACAACAAUUAAUGACUACAAGAGUUGUGUUCUACGCAAGCGAGCCUCGUCGCCUCGACGAGUCCUUUGCUUCCUACCAUUCCAGCUAGGUAAGACUGCAUCCAUUCCCUGCAACAUAGUAUGUAUUCGUGAGUGAUUUCAUCACUCAGUAUGUAAAGCAUCCAUACUAUCCUGUCUCAGAUAUCAAGCUAUUUCACACUACCAUUAGUAAAGGAUGCACAUAAUAAGCAAGAAAUAAGUAAACCUCUAAUCUAGUUCAUCAAUCGAUCAUCAUUCAUAUGACCCAGAUGGGUCGUCAUUCGUCAUUCACCGUCGGUUAGGCGUCAAAACACCCCGGUCAUGUUUCGCUCAUGUAUUCAUUCAUUCCUUCGUUCAUCCAUUCUUUAACUCAUUUACACAUGCAAUUCUACCCUUGUUCCCAUGUUCAUUCAUGCAAUCACCCCUCCUCCCCAAUCAUUUUCUCACGUUUAAAUCAGCAACAAUUUCAUGCAAUUAAAUCAAUUAGCAAUCAUGGUCAAUCAUACAUGAAAUCAAUUACUAAUUAUUUCAACUCAAACAUAAUUUAUUAUGAAGCUACCCCCCUCAGAAUCUAUUCUCACCCCCCCACAUGUCAUCAAAAAUAUCACACAAAACCCCGAUCUAAUACCGUGUUUCAUCAUUUCAAAUUAGCACAAAAACCCAAUCGAAUCAUGAUACUUAAUAGAUACUCUAUAAUUUAACAUGAUAUGCACCCCGAUGGUAAUUUUUUAACAUCUGAAACAGCAAAAGAAAAAUAGAAUUGAAAUAGACCACGGAUUAAACAUUCGUAAAAAAUAAUAUAUGGCAUUCCAUAAUCCUACUUGCAUGACAAUCACCAAGUUUGGAUGUAAAACUUAUAGCACUAAAUCUGAUUAGCAACAUAGCAAUUAUACAACUUAUAUCUUUUAAACCAAUAGCAUCAAUCUAGUAGAAGGCAUAAAGCAGUAGCUAUAUUAACAGUAUAUUUAACACAUUAACAUAUCAUGACAGCAACUUAUUAUUUUACAUUUAAUAGUAGUGAGAUCUGGAUAGGAAUAAAUCUCAUUAUUCCAGAUCAGAUCCGUUGGCCACCUUGCAUCAUGAUCACGUGAGAUCUGGAUAGGAAUAAAUCUGAUUAUUCCAGACAGAUCCGUGGUCACCUUACAUCAUAAUAACGUGGGAGCUGGGUAGGAAUAAAUCUGGUUGUUCUAGAUCAGUUCCGUUUGUCCAUGAUUAAAGAUUUAAACAUCAUCCGUUAUUACAUCAUGAUAACAUCAUCCGUUAUCACCAGGAGUAAAUCUGGUUAUUACAUCAAGAUAACAUCACCAUGAUUAAAGAUUUAAAAUAUUAGUAAACUUUAGCAAAAAUAUUCACAUCCGUUUCCCCCUCCCCACAUUUCCUUAACAGUUGUUUCACUUUAUCGCCCCCUUAAUCUUAUUCUUUUCCGAUCAUACCUGUCAUCAUCACAUUCAUCGGAGAUCUAAGAUUUCCAUCUUUAAUUGAUUAGAAUCUUUCUUACCCCCCAUCAACCCUAGAUAAACAUGAUAUUGAGAAUAUGUAACUUUACAUACCUCUUCCGCUGCCUGUCGAGUCACACCUCCCACACCACGACACCGGUGCCCCCUUACAAAUCCAAGCCACGAUGCCCCGUUCUCCCUUUCUCCUAGCCGCCCUCCUUCUUCCCCCUCCCUCUUCUCCUUCCAUUUUCCUUUUCUUUCUUUUCUGUUUUCUGUUUCACUCUCUUCCUUUCUAUCCUUUUAUUUUAAUUUUUUCACAGUAAUUU
rnacentral:lncRNA from 1 species